GAACAAAAAAAGGUGAAGAUGAACUAUGGAUACCUUUCAACUUAUUUUAUAGAGUUGUUAAGCUGAUCACUUAUUUUAGCAUGAUAACUACAUUUCAAUUUUUAUUACAAAAUUUCUUAGCUUUAAUUUUGUUUCUAUAAGACUAAUUUUGCUAGAUUUAAUAGAAUUUUGUUCAAAUACUUGAUAUGUUGAAUUGAUAACAAAGUAAUUUGCUAGAUUAGAAUUAUGUUAUUUCUUAGUCAAACCUUUUUUUUCUAUACCAUACCAUUAAGUCCAUUGUAUAUUAUGUUUGCUAAUACUAUGCAUUCAAGUAGGUUAAAAGGUGGAAGGUAAAUGGAAAUAACCUUCUUACCUUAUUUAGGAUUUUAUUGUUGGGCAGAUGGAAAGUCAUUGAGGUUAAAUAUUUACAUCCAUUAAUCACUUUAAUGGGUGUAAUAUGAAGUUUGAAUGCUUUUGCACCCAUUGACUUUCUACUCUUUUAAUACUUGCAAAGUAAGUGAGAUCAAUUAACCUUCCUUUCCAUUCCCUUUCAUAUCAUCCCAUUCCUUUCCUCAACCUCAAUCAUUUCCUUUUCCAUAACUCCUAAAACUCCCAUGCAAUGAUUAAGGGUAUUGCUUGGAUAUUAUAUUACUGUAACUUAUUUUCCUUUCUAUCCUGUAUGCAUGUAUCUAAAUUCUCUUUCGAUAGUUGUGAUUUUCCAGGAUUAUACAGUUCUUAUAUAGUGUAGUUCUGUUUUGAGUAAAUAUAUGAAAUAUAUGCAUGCGUUGAGCUGAGUUUUAUGGUCGACCAUGCACAUGUGUAUGCAGAGUCUGAUUUUCACUUUGGAGAGACAUCUCAGCUGAACUAAACUAUUAUAACCAAAUGAAAGCUAAAGUAUCAUGUUUUAAUGAAAGCUUAAAGUAUUAUGUUUAAACUCUGUUUCAAAUCUAGUUUGGGCAAUUUAAUUGGAUUUAAAACUAAUAUGAGAGCCCAAAAGCUGAUACUGAAAAAAAAUAUAAUAUAUAAUGUCUGUAAAA
rnacentral:misc_RNA from 1 species